AAGAAGCCUCUUUAAAGUGUUAGCGCUAAGGUGGUGGAAGAACAAAGGUUUUCUAAGCAUUCUAGACUGAUGUGCACUCUAAAUGUGCAUUUUAUGUGUUGCAGCUGGAUAACUCCACAGAAGGGAAAAAAAAACACAAGGAAAAUAAAAGAUGAAACUACAAACACGGGCUUAAACUGUGUUGCCAAUAUUAAACCUCCAGCAAAGAAGGAGGAAAUACCAGAGAGGAGUGGGAAAAAGAGGGGAAAAAGCGCCAAGCUCAGCUUUUUUCCUGACUGAGGACGCAGAGCCAUCUGUACAGAGACAAACGUGCAUAUGGCCGUCAUUUGUCCAACAUCUUACAUGAUGUGAAGGCUUUUCACUUGGAAUGCCAACCUAUGUGGCAGAUGAUGUAUGUGUUUCUUCAGUCCUGUGAUUACUAGCACGAAGCUGCAGUGCAAUGCUCUUCACCUCAUCAGUUCCACACGCUGCACUCCAAGGUAGGUGAAGAAUUUGCAGCAAGAUGGCUUCUGACACGCAGCACAACCAAGGCGUACCAACGUGAACAUUAUACACUAGAUUUUGUUUCAGCCACGGACUGCGACCAGACCUGUACCAACUGGGGUGGAUGAAACAAAUUAGAAUUUUAAUAGAGUGCCUAGCAGCAGUAAUUAAAAAGAAUGAUUAUAUUUUUGCAAGAUGUGCAAAGAAAAAUAAAAAGAUGGGGAG
rnacentral:lncRNA from 1 species